CACUUUGUGAUUCAUGACUGGGGUGAAGUCGUAACAAGGUAACCGUAGGGGAACCUGCGGUUGGAUCACCUCCUUACCU
rnacentral:rRNA from 2 species